rnacentral:rRNA from 1 species
UGGGGAAUAUUGGACAAUGGGCGCAAGCCUGAUCCAGCCAUGCCGCGUGAGUGAUGAAGGCCCUAGGGUUGUAAAGCUCUUUCACCGGUGAAGAUAAUGACGGUAACCGGAGAAGAAGCCCCGGCUAACUUCGUGCCAGCAGCCGCGGUAAUACGAAGGGGGCUAGCGUUGUUCGGAUUUACUGGGCGUAAAGCGCACGUAGGCGGACUAUUAAGUCAGGGGUGAAAUCCCGGGGCUCAACCCCGGAACUGCCUUUGAUACUGGUAGUCUUGAGUUCGGGAGAGGAGGAUGGGAUUCCGAGUGUAGGGGUGAAAUUCGUAGAUAUUCGGAGGAACACCAGUGGCGAAGGCGGCUCACUGGCUCGAUACUGAAGCUGAGGUGCGAAAGCGUGGGGAGCAAACAGG